UCGUAUAAUUCUGACUUUAUUCUCGUAAUAUUACGACUUUUUUUUUCUUGAAAUAGUACGACUUUAAUCUCAUUAAAUUGCGACUUUUUUUUCUCGUAAUAUUAUGACUUUAUUCUCGAAAUCUGUGGCCCUAACACCCCGUUGUACUACGGAGUGUGUCCACACCGGAAAAAGCAAUCAAACAGAAGAGUCGGCGUGCGCAUUGAAACCUCUGGAUUAGUGAGUGAGCUGCUGAAGCUCCGAGGAGACGGAGCCGCUGUUAGACCCAGAAACCGUCCAGAGGAAGAAGUGAGGUCACUGAAACAGCUCCAGGAACACUUCACAAAACUCUCUCACUUAAAUUGACUUCGGAUAAUGUCCUAAAAAGGACAAAAUUGAUUUCUUGUAUACUAAAAAAAAAUUUUAAAAAAUGGUGUACUAUAAAGACAAGUACACAGUAUAUACUGUAUGUAGAAUGGAACUAGCUGGACCGUCAGCGACUCAACAUAGUGCAUGCUGGGAUAGGCAGCAGCCCCCAGCCUCCCUCCAGAGGAUCAAAGGGUUACAUGAUGGAUGGACUGCAGUUCAAAAUCUGUUUGUAUAUGUCACAUGUACAUGUGAUCAAGGCUGAUAGCAGGUCUGCUCAGAUCCACUCAGGCAAUACAACACAAUUCACUGGAUAUAAUGCGGCCCCAGGUCAGGUACCGGUCCCAGGUCGGGGUCAGAGUACUGGACCUGUGAAGACCUCUACUGCGUGUUCUCCUGUUGAUGGGCAGCUGGAGUGAAGCUGUUACAACAAACAAUGAGACUUUGACGGAGGUAACCGGGCGCGUUGGCUUGGCGGCAGCUGCUCGGCGUGCAGGUGUGCGUGUUCGUGCUCGGCGUCUCUCAAAAGAGCAUUUUGACUGCAAAAAAAACGAGACAAUUCAAGAGCUCCUCCGUGAGGAACCCGUUCUCCACUGCCAUCCUGCUGAGGUCUGAUCUCUGCAGGUUAAACACAUGUUAGCAGGCUAAUCAGCAUCAGCCUGCUAACAUACAGACCUGGUGCUCUGGGUCACAGGGUCGUCCCCCCCCCCCCCCCCCCCCCCCCCCACACUCAUCCUCCCCCUCUACACCAACACACAUAUGAAGCCCUUACUGAUGCAGUCAGAUCUAUUCCCUCAACUAGGAGGGCUGACUCUGAAUCAGUAUUCUGAUUCAACACAGGCCCCCAAGAAAGUAUUUCUCUGCCUUUUGUGAUCUGAAUAUUUAAAGACGUACCCAUCAUGUUGGUCCUCAGUACCUGGACCUGGGAAACAGGAAGAGCCCCCCCCCCCUCCCAGUUUACCCUGCUGACAGAUUACAGUAUGUGGAUUAAACAAACUGUUUAAU